GCCACAGCCCCAACGUAUAUCGCGCAGUGUUGACCAAGACCAAGUCUAGCAGGAAUUCUGGCAUGGUAUGUGGCUGCACGGAGGAUUCCGAAAAAGAAAAACACCAACAUGGCUAAUAGGAUGUUGCUGCCCAGGGAGUCCUGGCCGAAGAGGUUUACUCAUUCCAGAAGCAAGAAUUGUACCAUUGUAAGGCGAAUGGAAAUAAACUGACAUCAAC